UUGUGGGCCAUCAAUUAGUUAUUAUCUGUAUUUGUAAAAGUACAUUCAAUCAACCAAACAGAUUGUACAAAAGUUACAAUAAAACUUGAGGCUAAGGCAAAUAUUUUUAAAAAAAUGUAAAAUCAAAUGAGCAAGCUAGGAAACAAUGAGCUCCAGAAGAUCAAUUUCAAAUAUCUGUCAAACAUUCACUUUCAUUUAGUGAAAUUCAUGAAAUAAAAAUAAAAAAAUAACUCGGAUUAUGAUCAUUUUUGCUGUUUUUUUUUUA